rnacentral:rRNA from 1 species
UACGAGAGGCCCAAACAUUAUUCGGAAUUACUGGGCUUAAAGAGUUCGUAGGCGGCAUGGUAAGUAGGGUGUGAAAUCCCUCGGCUCAACCGAGGAAUUGCGCUCUAAACUACCGUGCUAGAGGAAGCUAGAGGUGAGCGGAACUGAUGGUGGAGCGGUGAAAUGCGUUGAUAUCAUCAGGAACACCGGAGGCGAAGGCGGCUCACUGGGGCUUUUCGACGCUGAGGAACGGAAAGCCAGGGUAGCGAACGGG